GUUCAAAAUUGAGGUUCAGGGUAAUGACCUAUGAUUUGACAGACAGUGCUUUCUAAAUCUGCCUGUCAUUUCUGUAGGCCAAUAUUCUGAAUACUUUCACUACUCC
rnacentral:miRNA from 1 species